GGCGGUAGCGGGCCAUUCGGCUCCAUCCCUAUCCAUGUUCAUCCUGGAUCUUGGAGACCUCCAGCCGGCGGCAAUGGAUAGUGGAAAAGCCCGCGGGUGACGUUCAGGCCUGCCGUGUGACGGACCGCCUCCUGCGAGAUGCCUGGGGGAGGGGCGGCCCCGGGCCAGGCCAAGGUAACCGCGUUUGAUACCCCCCCCCCUCCCCCGCGCACGGUCUCCGGCGGCCCCCGCCGCGGCCCAGGCUCCGUGCUGAGCGCUGGGCGCGGGAAGGCCGCAGCCCCGAGCCCUUUCCCGGGGAAGGAGGGGUUUCUGGUGUUAAACUUCCUUCUCAGACUCACCAUCAAGUAGCUCGUCCUAUACAAAACAGAAGAGUUGGAACUGUGGCCAAUAUGAGGAGAUUGCAUCGGAAAGGGUGCUGAUCACUGACUGACUGGGUCCUAGCAAUUGUUGCUUUGCUAGAUGGGAAUUGGCUUUUCAUCAGCUUUGAAUGGGACGGGGGAGCAUGGAGCCUUCUUCAAGAUCUCGAUACCUUUUGGAUAUCAGAACAAGUAAAUAAAUGAUGCUUAAUAAAUCUAAUUUUUACAAUAA
rnacentral:lncRNA from 1 species